ACUCAGCGCAAAACUCAUCACCAGAUACUAACAGUCUCGGGAACCCAAAACCUGGUAGAACAACACCUGACUCCGCAGUAUUAGGGACUUCAAAGAUCAUUUUCACCUUUGAAGAGCUAAGCCAAAUAACGGAAGGAUUUUCCAAGAGAUUUGUGGUAGGAGAAGGUGGGUUCGGGUGUGUCUACAAGGGCAUCCUUUAUGAGGGAAAGACAGUGGCGAUCAAACAGCUAAAGUCGGUCAGCGCAGAAGGAUAUAGAGAGUUCAAAGCUGAAGUAGAGAUCAUUAGCAGGGUGCAUCAUAGGCACUUGGUGUCUCUUGUUGGUUAUUGCAUCUCUGAACAACAUAGAUUCCUCAUCUAUGAGUUUGUCCCCAACAAUACUUUGGAUUACCAUUUACAUGGCAAAGACUUGCCAGUUCUGGAAUGGAGUAGAAGAGUCAGGAUUGCAAUAGGCGCAGCCAAAGGUCUUGCUUAUCUACAUGAAGAUUGUCACCCGAAGAUUAUCCAUAGGGACAUCAAAUCGUCAAACAUUCUGUUGGAUGAUGAAUUCGAAGCUCAGG